CCGGAGGGAACAUGGCAGGAGACAGAGGAGUGACCUUGUUUGUCCUGCUGCUGUCCUGCUGGCGCCACGCGGAGCCCCAGCCCAUCAACACGAUUUCAGGUCCACAUAUGGUACUGCCACCAAAUUUAAAAAAUUUUGAUGACAACGUGGCUGCACUAUUUGAUGAAAUUGUAGUCCAAGAGAUAUUGGAUCCAAGUAAUUCAUCAUUGCUUAUGACACAAAGACCACUACCAAAAUCAACAACGAUUAUGAAGAAAAAAAGCAAAAACCUAUACACAAACGGAUUAUAAGAUGGAUAUUAAUAAGAAGCAUCAUAAAAAGAAAUUCUCUUCUGGGAAAGAAAAAAGGCCUUUCUUUGAUGAAGAGGAGAAAGAGACACUUUAUCAGAUUAAAAGCCUAGCAGUUCUGGAAAAAAUCAUUGACAACCUUCAAAGAGCUUUAGGCAACUCUCUCAAACAAAGACUACAGAAGCACAGGCGUUUGUUCAAAGGAGCCAAACACCACAAGGGGAAAUAGAGCCGGAACUGAGAAGCCAAGACUGCCUGAGGGGACAUCCACUCACCCCGCCACUAGGAGGAAAAAUAAAAUAGAAUCACUAUUUUCUAUAAAGAAGAAUCUCUUUAUUCAAGGAGUGCCAAAUAAAAUGAACACAUUUAAAUAUUAA